rnacentral:lncRNA from 1 species
UACUGUUUAACAGGCAUGGACACUGAGGUGUUGGCACUUCCUUCAGAGGAUUCCUUGCCCUUACCCAGAGCACAGCAAAAUCCUCAAGAGAUGUUUGGUAAAUAUACAGUGUUUAAUUCUGAAAUCCAAAUACUGUAUAUAGAAUGUAGAUCAUUUGGUUAUAUUUUAUUUGCAGAACAAAACAUGGAGAGGCUUUCUGCCCUACUGGAUUCAAGCCCCUGUCCUGCUGAGCCUGAGAGAAGCGCAGCAUCAUCGUGGUCUGUUAGGCAGCAGAAAGCCUCUGACCGUUGGGAGGAAGCACGGCCGUACCACCUCAGAUGCCUUUUGGAAUCUGAGGCUGUUGGCAAGCCAUUGUGUUGCUUCUGCCACAAGCCGGCUGUUAUAAGGUUGGAUGUUCAUCAAUCAAAUAAUAGAAUGUAUCUAUGUACACUAAAAAAAGUAUAUCAUAUAAAUUGAGUGACUUGACUUGAGUGUUUUGUCUGCUUAGGUGCAGAGAGUGCCUUCCGGAGCAGUGGUUUUGUGGGGCCUGCGACAUGCAUAACCACAGCAAACGGCCACUCCACAACAGGGACAGCGUGGUGGAUGGCUUCUUUAAAGCCAUUCCCCCAUCCACAUGUAUCUCAAGAGGAGAGACUGGAAUAUAUGCCACACAUGAGCAAGAUCGCAUUUUACCCACAAUGCCAGCACAGCACUGCACCUGCCAGGUCCCUAGCUUCACAGUGGAAGCUGGGAAACCAGUCAUCUUGAUUACCAUCAAUGGGCGUUAUGAUUUGCAUUUGCCACGUUAUGUGUGCCAAACAUGCCUGCAGCAGUGGGCCCCUGAUGUGAGAGACCUAGUCAGGAGUGGAUAUUGGCCAGCUUCUGCAAAUGCUUCCACAAUCUACACGGUGGACCUCCUCAACACCUUUCAGGAGCUGAAGUUGAUCUCACCUGGAUUCUCCAGGCAAGCCCUUGCAAAAAUGCUGGAACAUCGCACACUGUGUGCAGGAAGAGUAAGUGACAUCAGCAAUACUAUUUAUUAUGCUCACCAAUAUUGUCAGCAAUUUUUUUUUUUUUUUUUUUGACUAUCUCAAAAAUGUUUUCCAUAUUCUGAUAUACUUUCUAGUCUGGACAGAUCAACGGGGAUGCCCUGCAGAGGAGCUUUCUUGAGUUUGCAUACGCCUCCUUUGAGAAAGACCAGCUCUGCUGUGAUACCCCUUUCACCUGCCCUGCCUGCACACCUGAAAUGGUAGCAGUGUCAGCAGAUGUCAACAGGAAGCUUUAUCGCUUUGGCCAUACUGGAAGGUGCACUUUAAGUUCUCUUUGGUAAUUGAGUCGUGACUGUAAGUGACAACAAGAGUAGGUAAUGGAUGUUAUAUAUUUUUCCCCUAGAUCUAAUGACACUCCCUUUUUUGAUGGGCUAUUUCUAGCCAAAGACAGUGAGGUGUCUGAUUUUGUCAACACAAUACAGAUGGCGGUGAAGAAUGUAAGUUUAAGCUAAGUUUAAACACUCAAAUAGUUCUGUUACUAAAGGAAUCAUUGCAUUUC